rnacentral:lncRNA from 1 species
CUGGGGUUGAUAGUCGAUGGUGGCUGAUGUAUUAACAAUAAUUAUGGGAGUCGACAAGAAGGGUUGACUGGUGCUUGGUUGGUAAGAUUAAAUGGGUCUAACUGUCCGUCUGUUGAUUGAGGAUGAUCUAGCUUGAUGCCGGUCAACUCAGGUGUGAAGCCCCUAUGCCUAGUGGAUAAAGGUUAAUAAACCCCACCUCCCAAUAGUCAUUUACUUUUUGAAAAGUUGGUUAGGACCUACGGUCC